UGGGGAGAAGUGUUGCCCUUACGGUUGCCUGUCUGAGUGCAAGGACAUUGUCUAUGCGAUGCAUGGGUCAUCAACAAAGAGACCCACCCGAACUGGAACUACUGUUCGAACUUGACCCAAAGACCCUUCUUCUGCCCUGGACCACCCUGGAGACCCUCCCCCCAAAACCUUCCCCUGGUUUCAUCCCUACUUCUCUGCAAUAGAAGCCUUGGUCCUGUCUCAGGUGC